rnacentral:rRNA from 1 species
UACGGAGGGUGCGAGCGUUGUUCGGAAUCACUGGGCGUAAAGGGCGUGUAGGCGGUCCGCUAAGUCUGAUGUGAAAGCCCGGGGCUCACCCCCGGAAGGGCAUUGGAAACUGACGGACUCGAGUCCCGAAGAGGAGGGUGGAAUUCCUGGUGUAGCGGUGAAAUGCGCAGAUAUCAGGAGGAACACCUAUUGCGAAGGCAGCUCGCUGGGACGUAACUGACGCUGAGACGCGAAAGCGUGGGGAGCAAACAGG